GUACACGCUGUGACUAGCAUAUCAAUAAGCGGAGGAAAAGAAACUAACAAGGAUUCCCCUAGUAACGGCGAGUGAAGCGGGAAGAGCUCAAAUUUGAAAUCUUAAAGGGUUUCCCUUUACGAAUCGUAGUUUAAAGAAGUGUUUUCUGUUGAGGUUUUGGUAAAAGUUCUUUGGAAUAGGACAUCAUAGAGGGUGAGAAUCCCGUAUUUGACCUUUACUUUCAACUUUGUGAUACACUUUCAAAGAGUCGGAUUGUUUGGGAAUGCAGUCCAAAAUGGGUGGUAAAUUUCAUCUAAAGCUAAAUAUUGGCGAGAGACCGAUAGCGAACAAGUACCGUGAGGGAAAGAUGAAAAGAACUUUGAAAAGAGAGUUAAACAGUACGUGAAAUUGUCAAAAGGGAGGCGUUUGACACCAGUGUUGUUUUUCUGAAAAUCAAUUAAAGAACUGUUUAUGCUAAGUUGUUUAGACUUUAUCAGCUAACUGUUUAGUUUUGAGCUUUUCUUUAAUGCACUUUUCAGUUAACAAGUCAACAUCAAUUUCUUUUGCUGUAAAAAAGCUUGAGGAAGGUGGCUUGAGAUUCGUCUUAAGUGUUUAUAGCCUCUUGCCUAUGCAGUCGGAGAGAUUGAGGUCUGCAGCGUAGAUCCUUCGGGGCUAAAUGCAUUUGUGCUAAGUUAUAGCAUUUUAUAGACAACUUGUUGACUAUGAUUUGUCUUGUAGCUUACUCGCUUAUGUUAUUUUACCUACGCUUAGGAUGUUGACGCGCGUGUGUGCGUG
rnacentral:rRNA from 1 species